rnacentral:rRNA from 1 species
GGCAGGCCUAACACAUGCAAGUCGGACGGAAACGACAAGAACAAUCACUUCGGUGUGCGUUUUUGGGCGUCGAGUGGCGGACGGGUGAGUAACGCGUGGGAAUCUACCCUUUAGUUGGGGACAACAUAUGGAAACGUAUGCUAAUACCGAAUAUGCUCUACGGAGUAAAGGUGCCCUCUCCUUGGAAGGUAUCGCUAAAGGAUGAGCCCGCGUUAGAUUAGCUAGUUGGUAAGGUAAAGGCUUACCAAGGCGACGAUCUAUAGCUGGUUUGAGAGGAUGAUCAGCCACACUGGGACUGAGACACGGCCCAGACUCCUACGGGAGGCAGCAGUGGGGAAUAUUGCACAAUGAGGGAAACCUUGAUGCAGCCAUGCCGCGUGUGUGAAGAAGGCCCGAGGGUUGUAAAGCACUUUCAAUUGUGAGGAAGAUUAAGUAGCUAAUACCUGCUUAGUUUGACGUUAACUUUAGAAGAAGCACCGGCUAACUCUGUGCCAGCAGCCGCGGUAAUACAGAGGGUGCAAGCGUUAUUCGGAAUUACUGGGCGUAAAGCGCGCGUAGGCGGACUGUUAAGUCGGUUGUGAAAGCCCUGGGCUCAACCUAGGAACUGCAUCCGAUACUGGCAAUCUAGAGUUUAAGAGAGGGAAGUGGAAUUCCAGGUGUAGCAGUGAAAUGCGUAGAUAUCUGGAGGAACAUCAGUGGCGAAGGCGACUUCCUGGCUUAAAACUGACGCUGAGGUGCGAAAGCUUGGGUAGCGAACGGGAUUAGAUACCCCGGUAGUCCAAGCCGUAAACGAUGUCAACUAGCUGUUGGGCCUUAUUAAAAA